AGACCCGAAACCCGGUGAUCUAGCCAUGGGCAGGUUGAAGGUUGGGUAACACUAACUGGAGGACCGAACCGACUAAUGUUGAAAAAUUAGCGGAUGACCUGUGGCUGGGGGUGAAAGGCCAAUCAAACCGGGAGAUAGCUGGUUCUCCCCGAAAGCUAUUUAGGUAGCGCCUCGUGAAUUCAUCUCCGGGGGUAGAGCACUGUUUCGGCUAGGGGGCCAUCCCGGCUUACCAACCCGAUGCAAACUGCGAAUACCGGAGAAUGUUAUCACGGGAGACACACGGCGGGUGCUAACGUCCGUCGUGAAGAGGGAAACAACCCAGACCGCCAGCUAAGGUCCCAAAGUCAUGGUUAAGUGGGAAACGAUGUGGGAAGGCCCAGACAGCCAGGAUGUUGGCUUAGAAGCAGCCAUCAUUUAAAGAAAGCGUAAUAGCUCACUGGUCGAGUCGGCCUGCGCGGAAGAUGUAACGGGGCUAAACCAUGCACCGAAGCUGCGGCAGCGAACGUAUCACUUAAAGCGAUUCAGCGGGUUACGAUUGACGGAGCGAAGCGACGUCAAAGCGUAUACAAAGUCGAGUCGGUUUAAGGAUACGUUCGUUGGGUAGGGGAGCGUUCUGUAAGCCUGUGAAGGUGGCCUGUGAGGGUUG
rnacentral:rRNA from 3 species